UCAAACAGAUUAUGCUGAAUAUCAUGUACAACUCAAAUCCCCAGAGUAGGCCGAUGUCAGGCCAGUCCAGUGGCUGGUCAACCAGGUGGGGUGGACGGCUGGAAUGCUGUGUCCAGUUACAGUUCUGGGUGCAGUGUGACUUUCUUCCAAGAAAUGUCUUGUCUGCGUCUGAGUGUGUAGUCCGAGUGGCACGGCAUCAGUGGCCGUGAUUGGUUCCCUGCGAGAAUCCUGCACCUGCAGACGGUGACCCAGUGUGGAGGCCACCAGACCUGCUGGUGAUGGCGACCUCAUUGCAUGGAGAUGUCCCAGGCCUGUUGACUGACCAUCAACACAGCAGCAUUCCUCUGGCUUAACAGGGCUGAAAUGAUUCCUCUUGAAUAUCCUGGCCAGUUUCAUGGAGCCUGCUUUAAAACUGAAACCAAGAUGUACACCAGCAUAUUUACAGCUGGUGAACAUUAAUUCAGCAGGAAGUGAGAACCCAAUCUCAGCUAUCACUGACAGUUGAAACCCUGUCAGAAGAUCGAGCAAUCCAUGGCCAGUAAAUAGAACAAUACAACAGAACCAGAAGGGCAGCGGUGAUAGUGACCUGCCCCCCUCCCCCACGGCCCCAGGGCCUGACUCUCCCUGAGAGUAUAACAAUGCACUGGUUACCUGACAAGCAUUACCCCAACCAGAUCACCACAUGGUAAAAUCUGACGAGCUCUGUCCAUGUUUGUAAACAUUCCCUCAUAAUGUUUCCUGAACAUAUUAUUGGUCAGUUUUGAGGGAAAAUAGCUAAAAAGUGGGUAGGAAUGUAUCUGACUUACCUAAAG